AGCAUCCUGCAGUAAGUCUACUACUGCCUCCACAGCUAACGAGAGCUGCAUCCGAGACGCCCGUGACGUCACUGCUGUAGUGGUGGCAGUCUGCUACUACAUCCACAGUUACUGCAGCGUAGAAUCAGGUGGCCAGCAUGCCAGCAUCAAGUCCGGGCACAUCCCUUUGGACAAGAACCAGCAUCACUUCUUAUUUUACUAUGACUGUACCAUAAAAAUGAAAUAAAUAGCAGCAUUACUGUCA